rnacentral:rRNA from 1 species
GGGUUGUGAGGUUAAGCGACUAAGCGUACACGGUGGAUGCCCUGGCAGUCAGAGGCGAUGAAGGGCGUGCUAAUCUGCGAUAAGCGCCGGUAAGGUGAUAUGAACCGUUAUAACCGGCGAUACCCGAAUGGGGAAACCCAGUGUGACUCGUCACACUAUCAUUAACUGAAUCCAUAGGUUAAUGAGGCGAACCGGGGGAACUGAAACAUCUAAGUACCCCGAGGAAAAGAAAUCAACCGAGAUUCCCCCAGUAGCGGCGAGCGAACGGGGAGGAGCCCAGAGCCUGAAUCAGCAUGUGUGUUAGUGGAAGCGUCUGGAAAGGCGCGCGAUACAGGGUGACAGCCCCGUACACAAAAGCGCAUGUGCUGUGAGCUCGAUGAGUAGGGCGGGACACGUGGUAUCCUGUCUGAAUAUGGGGGGACCAUCCUCCAAGGCUAAAUACUCCUGACUGACCGAUAGUGAACCAGUACCGUGAGGGAAAGGCGAAAAGAACCCCGGCGAGGGGAGUGAAAAAGAACCUGAAACCGUGUACGUACAAGCAGUGGGAGCCCCACCACUAAGCCAGUGGUGAACUCCACA